AGCAGCAUGGCGCAGGUGGACAGCGCGACGGGCUCAUAUUUCCGACAGGAGUUUGAGAUCCCCGAGGCUACUCGUUCAAAUCGAGUUGCUGCUA